rnacentral:rRNA from 1 species
AUUGAACGCUGGCGGCAGGCCUAACACAUGCAAGUCGAGCGGAUGACGGGAGCUUGCUUCUUGAUUCAGCGGCGGACGGGUGAGUAAUGCCUAGGAAUCUGCCUGGUAGUGGGGGACAACGUUUCGAAAGGAACGCUAAUACCGCAUACGUCCUACGGGAGAAAGCAGGGGACCUUCGGGCCUUGCGCUAUCAGAUGAGCCUAGGUCGGAUUAGCUAGUUGGUGGGGUAAUGGCUCACCAAGGCGACGAUCCGUAACUGGUCUGAGAGGAUGAUCAGUCACACUGGAACUGAGACACGGGCCAGACUCCUACGUGAGGCAGCAGUGGGGAAUAUUGGACAAUGGGCGAAAGCCUGAUCCAGCCAUGCCGCGUGUGUGAAGAAGGUCUUCGGAUUGUAAAGCACUUUAAGUUGGGAGGAAGGGCAGUAAGUUAAUACCUUGCUGUUUUGACGUUACCGGCAGAAUAAGCACCGGCUAACUCUGUGCCAGCCGCCGCGGUAA